GACGAACGCUGGCGGCGUGCCUAAUACAUGCAAGUCGAACGCGUCUACGUUAAUGAAAUCAAUGUGCUUGCACGGCGAUGGAUUUAACAUUAGACGAGUGGCGAACUGGUGAGUAACACGUGGGUAACCUGCCCUCAAGCAGGGGAUAACACUUGGAAACAGGUGCUAAUACCGUAUAACAACAAAAACCGCAUGGUUUUUGUUUGAAAGAUGGUUUCGGCUAUCACUUGAGGAUGGACCCGCGGCGUAUUAGCUAGUUGGUGAGGUAAUGGCUCACCAAGGCAAUGAUACGUAGCCGACCUGAGAGGGUAAUCGGCCACAUUGGGACUGAGACACGGCCCAAACUCCUACGGGAGGCAGCAGUAGGGAAUCUUCCACAAUGGACGAAAGUCUGAUGCAGCAACGCCGCGUGAACGAUGAAGGUUCUAUGAAUCGUAAAGUUCUGUUCUGAGGGAAGAAACAAAUGACGGUACCUCAGGAGCAAGCCCCGGCUAACUACGUGCCAGCCGCCGCAGUAAAAC
rnacentral:rRNA from 1 species